rnacentral:lncRNA from 1 species
AAACAAACAAGCCCGUUUUUUUUCUAUUCAUUGAUUCAUUUCGAUUUCAUGUUUCACUGGGACGUGGCAAGUGCUAAAAUCUUUUACAUCCUUCGCAGUAGUCAAAUUGUUACAAGCGUGUGACGAAAGUCGUGAGGUUUGUCUGCAGUUACUUCCUCAAUUUUAAACACAAACAAACAAUUAGCCUAUACGAACCCCAUUAUAGACUUCAAACGUUCUUUCACUUAAAAGAAUAGGCGAAGGAGAGGUGCGGCAAAGGAGACACACGCUGCAAGUUCGAUGACUUGACACAUAACACGCAUUGAUGUAGUCUUUUUAAAAAUGCUGCCUUCUUUUUAAACACAGGGUAACAGAAUAUUUCGUGGCUGUUGUUAUUUUUUGUCUGGUAUUUUCGGAACAUUGAAGAAAGAAUAAUGGAAACCGUUGUUUUCAAACUCGUUAUCAGUUAUGUAGUAGAAAUUGUUAAAAUGAUUAUUAGAAAGCUCGCUGUUUCACUGCUGAGCGAGCACUCGAACGUGAAUGUGCCCUCAAUUUUCUCAAACUGAUUCUCAUUAAAACAUUAUCUGGUGCAUUCGCAUGCGAUUAUUUGCUAACUAAACUCUCUUCGCUCCAGAAGGUCAUGUAAAACAAAAAUGGAGAUGAAACUACCAAAACACCUUUUCGUUUCGAAAUGGAUUAAAUACUGAACCCGAUUUCACAUACAGAACCCGUUAUACAAGUACUUCAAAAUGCCUUCCCAUUAAGAACGAGAAUGAUCUUUGACGCCUUUUGUGGAAUUUGAAUGAUUGGAUGAGUUGGCGGAAAUCUGGCUGCAUGAUCCCUCUUCGCAAACGGCGGUGGGAGAAAGUCAAGCCCAUAUAUCUUGCAAUAUGAGUCAAGGGCCGGAGUCAAGAGAGGCUAACGGCAUGCAGCUGAGCAGUACCUUCAAGUGCUCGCGUACUAGCUACUGAAGCCCGUUGGAUCUGAAACCACGACAAUAUGACACUUCAGAUAAAAAUCCACAAUCUUGUUUUUACA